AUUGAACGCUAGCGGCAUGCCUUACACAUGCAAGUCGAACGGAGUGGCGAACGGGUGAGUAAUGUAUCGGAAUGUGCCUAGUAGCGGGGGAUAACUACGCGUAAGCGUAGCUAAUACCGCAUCCUAUCGGAGCGGCCGAGAUCGGAGUAGCUAGUUGGUGGGGUAAAGGCCCACCAAGGCGACGAUCCGUAGCUGGUUUGAGAGGAUGAGCAGCCACACUGGGACUGAGACACGGCCCAGACUACUACGGGAGGCAUCAGUGGGGAAUAUUGGACAAUGGGGGAAAGCCUGAUCCAGCCAUGCCGCGUGUGUGAAGAAGGCCUGCGGGUUGGAAAGCACUUUUAGCAGGAAGGCGUUACCUGCAGAAUAAGCACCGGCUAACUACGUGCCAGCAGCCGCGGUAAUAC
rnacentral:rRNA from 1 species